GAAGAGAAACGCAAGCGCGUCUCACAAACUGAGGAAGGCCGCCAGGCCACCGCCAUUGCUUGGCGACGUGUGCCGCCAAAGUUUUCCAUCGACAAACAUGUCUGCCGGGCACAGUCGGUGUGCACAGUCUGUGAGCUUGGCGGAGGCUGAGUCAAGCACCAUCUCUACAUUCAUAUAACCUGCAUUCGCAUUGCAGUGUCACGACAACCUGCCAGACGCUCAAAGCAUUGUGAGUCCUUUGUGAAGCUGGACGAUCGACCGAGGCCUGCUCCGAAGUGAAACUUUCGACCCUGCCAGGGAGCUAUUUGUUUCACCAUGACUGAACCCAUGAAUGAUGUGAGUGGAGUUGUUUCGAUGUGAAUCCACAAUGAGAAUUGGACCGUGAAUGACAGUGUUGUUAUCGUGACAUUCUCACGUUUAUGCUCUUCGGAUUUAGGACAGCGGUUCCUAACACGAUCCUUCAAGUUUGCUACUCACCUUCACCAUGUCCGUUUGCAGUUUUUCGAUUACCCUACCAGACCGAAACCUCCGUUUCCUGUGGAACAAGGAGAACUACCGGAUAGGGUGAGUACGUGUGGGGGCUCGGUUUUUGGUUUUGAAAUAUCUAGUUGACAGGAUGCCAGAUACAGCUUGCAUCACCAAACAACAAAUCCCUGACAGGUUACCUCUUCUGUGGCAUGGUGAACGCAGACCACGGCACCGAAGAUGCGCUUGGGUCGGACCUCCUCGUCCCAGCCGGGAUCCAACACUACGAGUAAGCCAUGGGUUAUCACGCUCGCUAUCAUGCAAUUCUUGGGAUUUGCAGCUGUAAGGUCAUGAAAUGGAUGUGUGAGGCAUGAGCGAGCGUGGUCUACCCAGGAUUCUGGAGCUUGGCAACCACCUUCGGCAACUCGCCGCGCACAGUAGCGCUGAGCAGAGCCGCAGGUCCUGGAGUGAGUGAUAACUGCUUCACUGCUGAUUCGUUGCGUGUGUGCAGGACGGGGUAUGCGCCGAAUCCGUGGGAGGCGGUGGUCAGAAACGAUGACGAUGAACAUGUGAAAAGCGGUGGGCGGCGGAGGCGCGCCACUCCUUGGGUGGAGACCGAGAAGGAAAGAAUGAAAGUCUCAUGUUUGAGACUGGUUGAAGCCCAUUGCUUGCUGCUGUCGGUGCUGGUUCAUGGCACCGUCGUUGGAUGUGUUCAUUUGUAGAUACAGUUCUUCCAUGUAGUUGUCAUUUGUAGAUACAAUUCUUCCAUGCAGUUGUCGGCUCACGUGUUUGUGUACACAUUGUACAAGCGCUUGCACAAGGUCGGCACGACCGUGCGGUUUCCAAGCUUCGGAUGGUGAUGGCAUUCCGCCAGAUUCACUCUUCCAGUAUACAUAGUGGCUCGAAUGCAUUGAAUGCAUGGAGACUACAAAUCGCAGCAAUCAGUGUUGCAUUCAUGAAUAAGAUGUACUUUUGAAGUAAAUGUAUAAAAGCUAAGUUCCGGUUUGGAUGCA
rnacentral:lncRNA from 1 species